rnacentral:rRNA from 1 species
UGGUAAAAAGCUCGUAGUUGGAUUUCUGCCGAGGACGACCGGUCCGCCCUCUGGGUGCGUAUCUGGCUCGGCCUGGGCAUCUUCUUGGAGAACGUGUCUGCACUUGACUGUGUGGUGCGGUAUCCAGGACUUUUACUUUGAGGAAAUUAGAGUGUUUCAAGCAGGCACACGCCUUGAAUACAUUAGCAUGGAAUAAUAAUAUAGGAUCUUGGUCCUAUUUUGUUGGUUUCUAGGGCUAAGAUAAUGAUUAAUAGGGACAAUUGGGGGCAUUCGUAUUAACGCGUCAGAGGUGGAAUUCUUGGAUUGCGUUACGACGAACUACUGCGAAAGCAUUUGCCAAGGAUGUUUUCAUUGAUCAAGAACGAAAGUAAGGGGAUCGAAGAUGAUUAGAUACCGUCGUAGUCUUUACCAUAAACUAUGCCAACUAGAGAUGGGGCUGCGGUUUAUUUAUGACCCGCUCCGCACCUUAUGAGAAAUCAAAGUUUUUGGGUUCCGGGGGGAGUAUGGUCGCAAGGCUGAAACUUAAAGGAAUUGACGGAAGGGCACCACCAGGAGUGGAGCCUGCGGCUUAAUUUGACUCAACACGGGAAAACUCACCAGGUCCAGACAUAGUAAGGAUUGACAGAU